rnacentral:ncRNA from 1 species
AGUGAAACAGUCCACUAAUUGGGUGAAGAGAUUUGUCUGGUUAAUUCCUAUAACAAUCGAGACUCUAGCCUCCUAACUAGUACGCCAGUCCUCUAUUCCUGCGCUGGCGGCAUUUUGGCGAAACUGCUCUCUUCAGCUGACUACUUUCGGGCCGCGCAUUUCUCCGCGCGCGUGUGCUGCGAGCCCCUCCCGGGGUGCGUUGUGUGCGUGCGUGUGGAGAUGUAGACUAAGAUAGGAGGUUUGAACGGUGGGUUCAGCGCUAUCCUUCGGGUACGGUGCAGGUGUGUCUACUUCUUAGAGGGUCAAGCAUUACAAAUGUGCACGAAAUUGAGCAAGAAGAGGUCUGUGAUGCCCU